CCGCGUCCCCAAGUCAGGCGUGAAUACCCG
rnacentral:rRNA from 1 species